GAUGUGUGAGCAAACAGGAGGACAAUUCAUUUUCAAGAUGAGAGGAAUUAUACUACUCUUGCUGUUUGGAACUGUUGUGGUAGCGAAACCAAAACCAGCUACAGUUGACAUAUCGUGUAAGUUUUCAAGCUGUGGAAUAUUUCAAAUCAAAAUUUGUAAAGAAAACAAAUGAUAAAAAAGGAGUUAUAUUCUUGAUGGAUAAUAUCCAUGGCUUUAACACAACAACCAACUCAUCAACGGUAACACUGCCAAGCAAAGAACUGGACCAUGCAGAGUGGAAUGGUGUAGUGCGGCCAAUUGAAAAUUCUUUUGGGUUUGCACCAAAACCUGCUGACAAAGAGGACACACAGGGGAAUACAGAAGAGUGAAAAUGACACAGCAGAGGGUUCAACUCAACAGAUCCAAACACAUAUGAAGUCCUAACUGAGUACAGCCAUCAGAAUGAGGAACCAGCAGGGGAUUUCUUCAUCCUGUUAUGCUUCUUCUCCUCAAUAAACAUUUCAUUUGAAAC
ensembl:lncRNA